AUUGAACGCUGGCGGCAGGCUUAACACAUGCAAGUCGAGGGGUAGAGGCUUUCGGGCCUUGAGACCGGCGCACGGGUGCGUAACGCGUAUGCAAUCUGCCUUGUACUGGGGGAUAGCCCAGAGAAAUUUGGAUUAAUACCCCAUAGUAUUUUCGGUUGGCAUCAACUGAUUAUUAAAGUUUUUCGGUACAAGAUGAGCAUGCGUCCCAUUAGCUAGUUGGUAUGGUAACGGCAGACCAAGGCUACGAUGGGUAGGGGUCCUGAGAGGGAUAUCCCCGACACUGGUCCUGAGACACGGACCAGACUCCUACGGGAGGCAGCAGUGAGGAAUAUUGGUCAAUGGUCGCAAGACUGAACCAGCCAUGCCGCGUGCAGGAUGAAGCAUCUAUGGUGUGCAAACUGCUUUUGUACGGGAAGAAACACUCCUACGUGUAGGGGCUUGACGGUACCGUAAGAAUAAGGAUCGGCUAACUCCGUGCCAGCAGCCGCCGUAACAC
rnacentral:rRNA from 1 species